GGGCUCCAUACUUCAUUGACCCCGAUGGACAGAAGCCGUUUUCUCCAUUUAGUUAUUUUAUAAUUUGAGGCACAACGCACUUUCAAACAAUCUUUAACAUUUAUUCAUCUUUCUAUAUUAAUAAUAUUGACAAUUCCACUGAAAUGAUUAAAAUCACAGCUGAAUGGAGGUGAAAUUACACGCUGAGAUGAUAAAUCCUGAUGUACUUUUGUUUUGCAGUGAACUCCAGCAGGCUCCGUCUCCGACUUUCUCCUCAGUCUCUCUGUGAUUAUUGAGCAGGUAUCAGGCGAGCAGCUUACUGCCACAAAUGUGUUUAUAUCCAAAAUUAGACAAACCUCUUUCUGAUUAGAGCAACUGGUAUCCAAUAAAACCUCAUUAUCAUUGUUAUUAUAUAAAGGAAUGGAUUCGUUUAAAAAUAAACACUUCUUUAUAAUCAGUAUAAUAAUGUGAUUAUCGAACGCUGCAGACACUUUCAUCAUUUCUGUUGGUUAUUUUUCUACAAACAUCCAAUUCAAAUUUCAGAGCCUGGAUUAUUAGUGUUAGUUGAUUAUUAAAGAAGUAAAAUGCACAGAAUAGAUUUCAUUUUCAGCUCUUCAGAGUCUCAGAAAUGCUCAUGGGGCCCAGGCACAGUCUGAGUUGGACGCCUCGAUCUGAACCUCCGACCUGGAACUGAAACGGGGAGUCAAUAAGAACUGGGACUGGAAUUGGAAUAAGCAGAAUCAGGAUCAAUAAAAUUAAAAUGAUACCCAACCCAAACACACACAAGGAAUGAAUCAACACAGUGACAAGCUCCACCCUUUUUUCACCCAGUAACACCCAAAUCUGAUCAGCCAAUCAGGAACGAGAUCAUGUGACCUCAUCACUGUGGUUUUUGGAAUGUUACCUGGAAUGUUGCUCGUGAGCAUGACGAGUUGUAGAACAUCCUCAUCUCAUCUCAUUAUCUGUAGCCGCUUUAUCCUGUUCUACAGGGGAGGCGAGCUGGAUCCUAUCCCAGCUGACUACGGGCGAAAGGCGGGGUUCACCCUGGACAAGUCGCCAGGUCAUCACAGGGCUGACACAUAGACACAGACAACCAUUCACACUCACAUUCACACCUACGCUCAAUUUAGAGUCACCAGUUAACCUAACCUGCAUGUCUUUGGACUGUGGGGGAAACCGGAGCACCCGGAGGAAACCCACGCGGACACGAGGAGAACAUGCAAACUCCAUACAGAAAGGCCCUCGCCGGCCACGGGGCUCGAACCCGGACCUUGUAGAACAUCCUGUAGCUACUUAUUAACAUUAGCGAAGCCACUCCUCCCCAGAGAGGACUAAAAUUUCUAUGAAGAAAAAGAUUAUAAUGCAAAUAAUUUUGCAUAUAAUUAGGACAUAUUAAUUAUUAUAUUAUAACUACAAAUCAUUUUACAUUUUUCAUCUCAUUUUUGCAGUUUAUGAUUUUAACACAUUAAUGUUUGUUUUUUGUUUUUUUUUAAAUCCAGUGAACCGAAUUAUGGGAUUGUGCUCCAGUCUCGGGGUUAUUAUAUUAACAUGCUUAUAAAUUAAACCCUUUCCCAGUCACCUGUGUGUGUGUGUGUGUGUGUGUGUGUGUGUGUGUGUGUGUGUGUGUGUGUGUGUGUGUGUGUGUGUAAAUGUGUGUGUUUAUGGUGUUGAUGUACAUUUGUAUACUACACAGUCAGUGUAAAUAUGUAGAUACACAAGUUCUCCUUUUGCUCUGUUUCUGUAAAGUUUUGUAUUGAAUAUUUUUCUCACACAGAUAUGUUUGUGACUCGCUGUUCUGUUGUUAAUGCAAUAAAUUUGUUAAAUCAGA